rnacentral:rRNA from 1 species
GACGAACGCUGGCGGCGUGCUUAACACAUGCAAGUUGAACGGAAAGGCCCUGCUUUUGUGGGGUGCUCGAGUGGCGAACGGGUGAGUAACACGUGAGUAACCUGCCCUUGACUUUGGGAUAACUUCAGGAAACUGGGGCUAAUACCGGAUAGGAGCUCCUGCUGCAUGGUGGGGGUUGGAAAGUUUCGGCGGUUGGGGAUGGACUCGCGGCUUAUCAGCUUGUUGGUGGGGUAGUGGCUUACCAAGGCUUUGACGGGUAGCCGGCCUGAGAGGGUGACCGGCCACAUUGGGACUGAGAUACGGCCCAGACUCCUACGGGAGGCAGCAGUGGGGAAUAUUGCACAAUGGGCGGAAGCCUGAUGCAGCAACGCCGCGUGCGGGAUGACGGCCUUCGGGUUGUAAACCGCUUUCGCCUGUGACGAAGCGUGAGUGACGGUAAUGAGUAAAGAAGCACCGGCUAACUACGUG